UUGAACGCUGGCGGCAGGCCUAACACAUGCAAGUCGAGCGGUAGCACAGAGAGCUUGCUCUCGGGUGACGAGCGGCGGACGGGUGAGUAAUGUCUGGGAAACUGCCUGAUGGAGGGGGAUAACUACUGGAAACGGUAGCUAAUACCGCAUAAUGUCGCAAGACCAAAGUGGGGGACCUUCGGGCCUCAUGCCAUCAGAUGUGCCCAGAUGGGAUUAGCUAGUAGGUGGGGUAACGGCUCACCUAGGCGACGAUCCCUAGCUGGUCUGAGAGGAUGACCAGCCACACUGGAACUGAGACACGGUCCAGACUCCUACGGGAGGCAGCAGUGGGGAAUAUUGCACAAUGGGCGCAAGCCUGAUGCAGCCAUGCCGCGUGUGUGAAGAAGGCCUUCGGGUUGUAAAGCACUUUCAGCGGGGAGGAAGGCGUUAAGGUUAAUAACCUUGGCGAUUGACGUUACCCGCAGAAGAAGCACCGGCUAACUCCGUGCCAGCAGCCGCGGUAAUACGGAGGGUGCAAGCGUUAAUCGGAAUUACUGGGCGUAAAGCGCACGCAGGCGGUCUGUCAAGUCGGAUGUGAAAUCCCCGGGCUCAACCUGGGAACUGCAUUCGAAACUGGCAGGCUAGAGUCUUGUAGAGGGGGGUAGAAUUCCAGGUGUAGCGGUGAAAUGCGUAGAGAUCUGGAGGAAUACCGGUGGCGAAGGCGGCCCCCUAGACAAAGACUGACGCUCAGGUGCGAAAGCGUGGGGAGCAAACAGGAUUAGAUACCCUGGUAGUCCACGCCGUAAACGAUGUCGAUUUGGAGGUUGUGCCCUUGAGGCGUGGCUUCCGGAGCUAACGCGUUAAAUCGACCGCCUGGGGAGUACGGCCGCAAGGUUAAAACUCAAAUGAAUUGACGGGGGCCCGCACAAGCGGUGGAGCAUGUGGUUUAAUUCGAUGCAACGCGAAGAACCUUACCUGGUCUUGACAUCCACAGAACUUAGCAGAGAUGCUUUGGUGCCUUCGGGAACUGUGAGACAGGUGCUGCAUGGCUGUCGUCAGCUCGUGUUGUGAAAUGUUGGGUUAAGUCCCGCAACGAGCGCAACCCUUAUCCUUUGUUGCCAGCGGUUAGGCCGGGAACUCAAAGGAGACUGCCAGUGAUAAACUGGAGGAAGGUGGGGAUGACGUCAAGUCAUCAUGGCCCUUACGACCAGGGCUACACACGUGCUACAAUGGCAUAUACAAAGAGAAGCGACCUCGCGAGAGCAAGCGGACCUCAUAAAGUAUGUCGUAGUCCGGAUUGGAGUCUGCAACUCGACUCCAUGAAGUCGGAAUCGCUAGUAAUCGUAGAUCAGAAUGCUACGGUGAAUACGUUCCCGGGCCUUGUACACACCGCCCGUCACACCAUGGGAGUGGGUUGCAAAAGAAGUAGGUAGCUUAACCUUCGGGAGGGCGCUUACCACUUUGUGAUUCAUGACUGGGGUG
rnacentral:rRNA from 1 species